rnacentral:tRNA from 1 species
CGGGCGGUAGCUCAGCUUGGUAGAGCUUCCGGCUGUAGACCGGAGUGUCGCAGGUUCAAAUCCCGCCCGCCCGACCA